CCUACGGUGGGCAGCAGUGGGGAAUAUUGGGCAAUGGGCGCAAGUCUGACCCAGCAACGCCGCGUGAAGGAAGAAGGCUUGCGGGUUGUAAACUUCUUUUAAGAGGGAAGAGUAGAAGAAGGUACCUCUUGAAUAAGCCACGGCCAACUAAGGGCCAGCGACCGCGGUAGUAAGUAGGUGGCGAGCGGUGUUCGGAUUUACUGGGUGGAAAGGGCGUGGAGCUGGGUAGACAAGUCAGUUGAGACAUCCCGAGGCUCAACCGCGGAACUACAUUGGAAACUGUUGUGCUUGAGUACCGGAGAGGUCAUCGGAAUUCCUUGUGUAGCGGUGAAAUGCGUAGAUAUAAGGAAGAACACCAGUGGCGAAGGCGAAUGACUGGACUGCAACUGACAGUGAGGCGCGAAAGCGUGGGGAGCAAACAGGAUUAGAUACCCGGGUAGUC
rnacentral:rRNA from 1 species